rnacentral:rRNA from 1 species
CUACGGGCUGCUGCAGUGAGGUAUCUUGGACAAUGGGCGAAAGCCUGAUCCAGCGACGCCGCGUGGGUGACGAAGGCCUUCGGGUUGUAAAGCCCUGUCAGAGGGGAAGAAGUUCUGACGGUACCCUCAGAGGAAGCACAGGCUAACUCCGUGCCAGCAGCCGCGGUAAUACGGAGUGUGCAAGCGUUGCUCGGAAUCACUGGGCGUAAAGGGCGCGUAGGCGGCUUGGUAAGUUGGAUGUGAAAGCCCUCGGCUCAACCGAGGAACUGCAUCCAAAACUGCCUGGCUAGAGUACGGAAGAGGAAGGCGGAAUUCCCAGUGUAGGGGUGAAAUCCGUAGAUAUUGGGAAGAACACCAGUGGCGAAGGCGGCCUUCUGGGACGAUACUGACGCUGAGGCGCGAAAGCGUGGGGAGCAAACAGGAUUAGAUACCCCCGUAGUC